UACAGAGGGGGCAAGCGUUAUUCGGAAUUAUUGGGCGUAAAGAGCGUGUAGGCGGCCAUGCAGGUCCGUUGUGAAAACUGGAGGCUUAACCUCCAGACGUCGAUGGAAACCGUAUGGCUAGAGUCCGGAAGAGGAGAGUGGAAUUCCUGGUGUAGCGGUGAAAUGCGCAGAUAUCAGGAAGAACACCCGUGGCGAAGGCGGGUCUCUGGGCCUGUACUGACGCUGAGGAACGAAAGCGUGGGGAGCGAACAGG
rnacentral:rRNA from 1 species